rnacentral:rRNA from 1 species
GACGAACGCUGGCGGCGUGCCUAAUACAUGCAAGUCGAACGCUUCUUUCCUCCCGAGUGCUUGCCCUCAAUUGGAAAGAGGCGUGGCGGACGGGUGAGUAACACGUGGGUAACCUACCCAUCAGAGGGGGAUAACACUUGGAAACAGGUGCUAAUACCGCAUAACAGUUUAUGCCGCAUGGCAUAAGAGUGCAAGGCGCUUUCGGGUGUCGCUGAUGGAUGGACCCGCGGUGCAUUAGCUAGUUGGUGAGGUAACGGCUCACCAAGGCCACGAUGCAUAGCCGACCUGAGAGGGUGAUCGGCCACACUGGGACUGAGACACGGCCCAGACUCCUACGGGAGGCAGCAGUAGGGAAUCUUCGGCAAUGGACGAAAGUCUGACCGAGCAACGCCGCGUGAGUGAAGAAGGUUUUCGGAUCGUAAAACUCUGUUGUUAGAGAAGAACAAGGACGUUAGUAACUGAACGUCCCCUGACGGUAUCUAACCAGAAAGCCACGGCUAACUACGUG